AACGCAGGUGGUUUGGUAAGUCAGGGGUGAAAGUCCACAGCUUAACUGUGGCACUGCCUUUGAUACUACCUUUCUUGAGUGCAUGAGGGGGAAGCGGAAUUCCGAGUGUAGAGGUGAAAUUCGUAGAUAUUCGGAGGAACACCGGUGGCGAAGGCGGCUUCCUGGCAUGUAACUGACACUCAUGUUCGAAAGCGUGGGGAGCAAACAGGAUUAGAUACCCUGGUAGUCCACGCCCUAAACGAUGGGCACUAGGUGUGGGAGGUAUCGACCCCUUCCGUGCCGCAGCUAACGCAUUAAGUGCCCCGCUGGGGAGUACGGCCGCAAGGUUGAA
rnacentral:rRNA from 1 species